CCUUCGAUAGCUCAGUUGGUAGAGCGGUGGACUGUAGAGGCUGCAACAGAUAUCCAUAGGUCGCUGGUUCGAAUCCGGCUCGAAGGA
rfam:Ciona savignyi cont_29421, whole genome shotgun sequence.